GAUGAACGCUGGCGGCGUGCCUAAUACAUGCAAGUCGAGCGAACGGACGAGAAGCUUGCUUCUCUGAUGUUAGCGGCGGACGGGUGAGUAACACGUGGAUAACCUACCUAUAAGACUGGGAUAACUUCGGGAAACCGUAGCUAAUACCGGAUAAUAUUUUGAACCGCAUGGUUCAAAAGUGAAAGACGGUCUUGCUGUCACUUAUAGAUGGAUCCGCGCUGCAUUAGCUAGUUGGUAAGGUAACGGCUUGCCAAGGCAACGAUGCAUAGCCGACCUGAGAGGGUGAUCGGCCACACUGGAACUGAGACACGGUCCAGACUCCUACGGGAGGCAGCAGUAGGGAAUCUUCCGCAGUGGGCGAAAGCCUGACGGAGCAACGCCGCGUGAGUGAUGAAGGUCUUCGGAUCGUAAAACUCUGUUAUUAGGGAAGAACAUAUGUGUAAGUAACUGUGCACAUCUUGACGGUACCUAAUCAGAAAGCCACGGCUAACUACGUG
rnacentral:rRNA from 1 species